rnacentral:ncRNA from 5 species
CGCGACCCCAGGUCAGGCGGGACUA